rnacentral:rRNA from 1 species
UACGGAGGAGGAUAGCGUUGUUCGGAAUUACUGGGCGUAAAGCGCACGUAGGCGGACUAGUAAGUCAGGGGUGAAAUCCCGGGGCUCAACCCUGGAACUGCCUUUGAUACUGCUAGUCUUGAGUUCGAGAGAGGUGAGUGGAAUUCCGAGUGUAGAGGUGAAAUUCGUAGAUAUUCGGAGGAACACCAGUGGCGAAGGCGGCUCACUGGCUCGAUACUGACGCUGAGGUGCGAAAGCGUGGGGAGCAAACAGG